rnacentral:rRNA from 1 species
GACGAACGCUGGCGGCGUGCUUAACACAUGCAAGUCGAACGGAAAGGCCCUGCUCUUGUGGGGUGCUCGAUUGGCGAACGGGUGAGUAACACGUGAGUAACCUGCCCUUGACUUUGGGAUAACUUCAGGAAACUGCGGCUAAUAUCGGAUAGGAGCUCUUGCUGCAUGGUGUGGGUUGGUAAGUUUCGGCGGUUGGGGAUGGACUCGCGGCUUAUCAGCUUGUUGGUGGGGUAGUGGCUUACCAAGGCUUUGACGGGUAGCCGGCCUGAGAGGGUGACCGGCCACAUUGGGACUGAGAUACGGCCCAGACUCCUACGGGAGGCAGCAGUGGGGAAUAUUGCACAAUGGGCGGAAGCCUGAUGCAGCAACGCCGCGUGCGGGAUGACGGCCUUCGGGUUGUAAACCGCUUUCGCCUGUGACGAAGCGUGAGUGACGGUAAUGGGUAAAGAAGCACCGGCUAACUACGUG